rnacentral:rRNA from 1 species
UAAUACAGAGGGUGCGAGCGUUAAUCGGAAUUACUGGGCGUAAAGGGCGCGUAGGCGGUUAUAUAAGUUAGAUGUGAAAUCCCCGGGCUUAACCUGGGAAUGGCAUUUAAUACUGUAUGACUAGAGUAGAGUAGAGGGAAGUGGAAUUUCCGGUGUAGCGGUGAAAUGCGUAGAUAUCGGAAAGAACACCAGUGGCGAAGGCGGCUUCCUGGACUCAUACUGACGUUGAGGCGCGAAAGCGUGGGUAGCAAACAGGAUUAGAUACCCUGGUAGUCCAUGCUGUAAACGAUGAAGACUGGAUGUUGGAGGGUUAAACUCUUCAGUAUCGAAGCUAACGCGAUAAGUCUUCCGCCUGGGGAGUACGGCCGCAAGGCUA